UGGAUGCAGGCAACGCUCCUGGCACACAGCAGGUCCCUGCGCCAACAGACCUGCUGGAGCCCAGGGAUGCCAGGCCCGAAGCCGAGGCGGCUGAUGACUUCCCGCCCAGGCCUGAGGUAGAUCUGGCCUCGGAAGUGGCCUUAGAGGUGGUGCGGACAGCAGAGCCUGGCGUGUGGUUGGAGGCUCAGGCCCCGGUGGCCCUGGUGGCUCAGCCUGAGCCCCUGCCGGCCACAGCUGGUGUGAAGAGGGAGAGCGUGGGCAUGGAGGUGGCGGUGCUGACCGAUGACCCGCUGCCCGUUGUGGACCAGCAGCAGGUGCUGGCCCGUCUGCAGCUGUUGGAGCAGCAGGUUGUGGGUGGAGAGCAGGCCAAGAACAAGGACCUGAAGGAGAAGCACAAGCGGCGCAAGCGCUACGCAGACGAGCGCAGGAAGCAGCUGGUGGCUGCCCUGCAGAACUCGGAUGAGGACAGCGGGGACUGGGUGCUGCUUAACGUCUACGACUCCAUCCAGGAGGAAGUGCGGGCCAAGAGCAAGCUGCUAGAGAAGAUGCAGAGGAAGCUUCGGGCAGCAGAGGUGGAGAUCAAAGAUCUGCAGUCCGAGUUUCAGCUGGAGAAGAUCGAUUACUUGGCCACCAUCCGCCGGCAGGAGCGUGACUCCAUGCUCUUGCAGCAGCUCCUGGAGCAGGUGCAGCCCCUGAUUCGCAGGGACUGUAACUACAGCAACCUGGAGAAGAUUCUGCGUGAGUCCUGCUGGGACGAAGAUAACGGCUUCUGGAAGAUCCCACAUCCCGUCAUCACAAAAACCAGCCUCCCAGUAGUUUCAACUGGGCCACAGAACAAACCAGCCCGCAAAACCUCUGCAGCAGACAAUGGCGAGC
rnacentral:sRNA from 1 species